CAAUGGGCGAAAGCCUGACCGAGCAACGCCGCGUGAGCGAUGAAGGCCUUCGGGUCGUAAAGCUCUGUUGUUAGAGAAGAACAAGUACGAGAGUAACUGCUCGUACCUUGACGGUACCUAACCAGAAAGCCACGGCUAACUACGUGCCAGCAGCCGCGGUAAUACGUAGGUGGCAAGCGUUAUCCGGAAUUAUUGGGCGUAAAGCGCGCGCAGGCGGUCUCUUAAGUCUGAUGUGAAAGCCCACGGCUCAACCGUGGAGGGUCAUUGGAAACUGGGAGACUUGAGUGCAGGAGAGAAAAGUGGAAUUCCACGUGUAGCGGUGAAAUGCGUAGAGAUGUGGAGGAACACCAGUGGCGAAGGCGGCUUUUUGGCCUGUAACUGACGCUGAGGCGCGAAAGCGUGGGGAGCAAACAGGAUUAGAUACCCUGGUAGUCCACGCCGUAAACGAUGAGUGCUAGGUGUUGGGGGGUUCCACCCUCAGUGCUGAAGUUAACACAUUAAGCACUCCGCCUGGG
rnacentral:rRNA from 1 species